AUUGAACGCUGGCGGCAGGCCUAACACAUGCAAGUCGAGCGGAUGACGGGAGCUUGCUCCUUGAUUCAGCGGCGGACGGGUGAGUAAUGCCUAGGAAUCUGCCUGGUAGUGGGGGACAACGUUUCGAAAGGAACGCUAAUACCGCAUACGUCCUACGGGCGAAAGGCUGGGGCAACCUGGCGCUUUAGGAGGAGCCUGCGUCCGAUUAGCUAGUUGGUUAGGUAAAGGCUGACCAAGGCGAUGAUCGGUAGCUGGUCUGAGAGGAUGAUCAGUCACACUGGAACUGAGACACGGUCCAGAGUCCUACGGGAGGCAGCAGUGGGGAAUAUUGGACAAUGGGCGAAAGCCUGAUCCAGCCAUGCCUCGUGUGUUAAGAAGGUCUUCGGAUUGUAAAGCUCUUUAAGUUGGGAGGAAGGGCAGUAAGCUAAUUCCUAGCUGUUUUGACGUUACCGACAGAAUAAGCACCGGCUAACUCUGUGCCAGCCGCCGCGGUAA
rnacentral:rRNA from 1 species